UACGUAGGGUGCGAGCGUUAAUCGGAAUUACUGGGCGUAAAGCGUGCGCAGGCGGCUUCGCAAGUCAGACGUGAAAUCCCCGGGCUUAACCUGGGAAUGGCGUUUGAAACUACGGAGCUGGAGUGUGGCAGAGGGAGGUAGAAUUCCACGUGUAGCGGUGAAAUGCGUAGAUAUGUGGAGGAACACCAGUGGCGAAGGCGGCUCACUGGUCCGGUACUGACGCUGAGGUGCGAAAGCGUGGGGAGCAAACAGG
rnacentral:rRNA from 1 species